GUGUCAAAGACCCCUGAAGACAUCAAAUGCUGGUGAAAGAAGAAGAAGAAGUGGGAGAUAAAUAUUAGGAUAUAUUGUUUUGUGUGUGUGUGUGUAGUUGUGCAGAGGUGUGUGUGUGUGUGUGUGUGUGUGUGUGUGUGUGUGUGUGUGUGAAGGAGGGGGAGGUAAAGGGAGGGAGCAGAGUGCUCUGGGCAUCAGAGGAGACUUUAAUCAUCAGCUGUGAGGUCAGGAAUGCAUGGCGCGCCUUGAAUAGAUCUAUUGUUCAUCUCUGGCGAAUGCGGGCAAAAGAAUCAAGAUUAAGACGAAGGGUACAGAGACGGCUGGAAACUAGUGAGGGAAGACGAGCAGAAAACUGAUGCAGCGUUUCCGACUGUUGGCGCUGUUGAAAUUUCCCAUCCCCACUGGCCUGGGGAGAAACGGGCGAGAGGAGAAAGUGGAAGCUGCUUCAAACUGUGUCAUUGCAUUGUUUGGAGGCCGUCGCAGAAGGUGAUAGCGUCGGAGCUGUGCUGCAGUGGUGAGCACUGUUGCCUCUCAGCAGGAACGGUCUGGCUUUGAUCAUGCGGCCUUUCAGCUCGGACUUUGUACGUUCUCCCCGUGCCUGUGUGGGUUUCCUUCCAUAGACCACAAAGCACGCAGGUUGAUUGGUGACUCUGAGGCUGUCUCCAGACAUGAACUCCAGAAAUUGUCCGGAAAAUUGGGCGUGGACAUUCUCCAAGGUUCGCCGUUCAUGUAUGAAGAAUGCAGCAGGAGGUUGUCCGAGUCAGACACGAUCACACCGACAGGAACAUUUCAGAAACAUUCCGCAGCGUCUGGGCAGAGCACGCAGGACGCAGAGAUGUUCCCUGCUGUACUCUCACACGGGCUCUCUCUGACGUUUUUCCAGAAAUUUCACCAGGGGGCUGGCAAGAGGACUUGCCAAAUUGUCCGGAGCAAUGUUUGCACAUAUUUGCAUUCUCACGUACAGGAAAUUUUGGGGAAAAGGACUUCAGUGCACGUCUUAAAGUCAGCCUGUCGGCCCUGUCCAGGUUGAGGUUUGACAACUGUUUAUACUGAUGUGCCUUACUCCUAGCUUUUGCAAAGACAAGUGCGGAGUUAAGAGAGAGGCGCAAUGAUGUGAAGAAAAAAAACAAAUCCAGACAUUAAUCAUGACAGCUGAUUGUGGUCUGCAAUGUGAACAUCUCAAAUUGCUUCCCUGUGCCUGACAUUCUCAUUAGCGGCGCUCUGCCUCUUUUCUGUCUGUCCUUCGCUCCCACCGUCUCCUUCUGUCCCUCUCGCUUGUUUAGUAUGUGAUUUGAUUUGGAAAACAACAGUGGUAGCGUUGAGUCAGAUUAUCAGUUUCUUCCGGAAAAAGAACAAAAACCUCCCCCCCCCAAAAUACAAUAAAUCACUGUCAACAAGGCAGUUGUUAAAAAGCAAUUGCCAUCGCAUGGCAUUAGUUUGGAUGUCAUCUACAUCGACGAAAAUGAAAGAAACUCGAGUCGUGAAACUGCAGCUUAACAAGGAAAGGAUUAGAUAGUAUUGAAUCACACAGAGAGCAAGACAAGGCUGGAGAUUCAACACAGCAUAUUUUGUAUACAAGGCAGGGUAUCAUCAGGGCAUGAGCACAUGUAACCAAAACAAAAUUGUGUGAAUUCCUUCAAUUUUAAAAAGAUAUUUACCACACUUUACAGGCGCACUUCCUGAAAGCUGGGUGCAAUUGCAAAUGCAAGCGCACGUCUAUGUGACCGGCGCAAUUCUGCAAUCGGUGACGAGAGCCGGGGAACAAUCUGGACGCAGCACAGCACAAGAGGGAAAUCAAGAAGUUUGGCGCCUGAUAACAAAAGACAAAGCUUUCAUCUGACAGCAGCGUUGGUGGGACGGCGUCACGUACGACCAGCUUUGAGUCACCACGAGGGCCGAAGAAUCUGGUAAAUAGGAGCCGUGGGAAGCAGAAGCAGCCUACACUCACCUUUGUGGUGACCAUAACCAGCUGUUACACAGGCGUCUUUGUCACCCACGUGAACAUCUCGCAGUUUCUUGAGAAGGGCAUGAUUGACAGGACUUUGAGGAAACCAGUUAACAGGUGCACAAAGUGGGCAGUUGUCCAUUAAAUCUUAUGUAACAGCUAUACAAGCUAAAACAAUCUUCAAGUGCAAUUUGCAUAGUCACACAGCAUCACAUCUCUUUCUGGCAUUUAUUUAUUCAGAAGCUGCUCCUCCGGCUUGUUUAUCAAGUAAUUAAUAAAAGCACUGCAGACAGUGGUGACUGGGGUUAUCAUUGUUUUUCUUGUUUGAGGCAUCACAUCCUCACACACACACACACACACACACACACACAGAAAUAAAUGAUAUGCAACAGAUCACCAUGUUCCGUGAAAGGCCAGAAGACACUCACACACUGCAACGUUGUGCAGAGUCAUUCAGCAUAUUUAAAAAAAGAAAACCAGCAUUUCAUUUGUUUCAAAUAAAUUUUCAGGUAUAACGA